rnacentral:rRNA from 1 species
AUUGAACGCUGGCGGCAGGCCUAACACAUGCAAGUCGGACGGUAGCACAGAGGAGCUUGCUCCUCGGGUGACGAGUGGCGGACGGGUGAGUACUGGCUGGGGAUCUGCCCGAUAGAGGGGGAUAACUACUGGAAACGGUGGCUAAUACCGCAUAACGUCUCAAUACCAAAGAUGGGGACCUUCCGGCCUGUCACUAUCGGAUGAACCCGGAUGGGAUUAGCUAGUAGGCGGGGUAACGGCCCACCUAGGCGACGAUACCUAGCUGGUCUGAGAGGAUGACCAGCCACACUGGAACUGAGACACGGUCCAGACUCCUACGGGAGGCAGCAGUGGGGAAUAUUGCACAAUGGGCGCAAGCCUGAUGCAGCCAUGCCGCGUGUAUGAAGAAGGCCUUCGGGUUGUAAAGUACUUUCAGCGGGGAGGAAGGCCAUGUGGUUAAUAACCGCGUCGAUUGACGUUACCCGCAGAAGAAGCACCGGCUAACUCCGUGCCAGCCGCCGCAGUAA